rnacentral:rRNA from 1 species
AUACGGAGGGUGCAAGCGUUACUCGGAAUCACUGGGCGUAAAGGAUGCGUAGGCGGAUAAUCAAGUCAAAAGUGAAAUCCCACGGCUUAACCGUGGAACUGCUUUCGAAACUGGUUAUCUAGAAUAUGGAAGAGGCAGAUGGAAUUAGUGGUGUAGGGGUAAAAUCCGUAGAGAUCACUAGGAAUACCGAUUGCGAAGGCGAUCUGCUGGGACAUUAUUGACGCUGAGGCAUGAAAGCGUGGGGAGCAAACAGGAUUAGAAACCCGAGUAGUCC